rnacentral:rRNA from 1 species
CCUACGGGAGGCAGCAGUGGGGAAUAUUGGGCAAUGGACGCAAGUCUGACCCAGCAACGCCGCGUGAAGGAAGAAGGCUUUCGGGUUGUAAACUUCUUUUAAGGGGAAGAGCAGAAGACGGUACCCCUUUAAUAAGCCACGGCUAACUACGUGCCAGCAGCCGCGGUAAUACGUAGGUGGCAAGCGUUGUCCGGAUUUACUGGGGUUAAAGGGCGUGCAGCCGGAGAGACAAGUCAGAUGUGAAAUUCACGGGCUCAACCCGUGAACUGCAUUUGAAACUGUUUCCCUUGAGUGUCGGAGAGGUAAUCGGAAUUCCUUGUGUAGCGGUGAAAUGCGUAGAUAUAAGGAAGAGCACCAGUGGCGAAGGCGGAUUACUGGACGAUAACUGACGGUGAGGCGCGAAAGCGUGGGGAGCAAACAGGAUUAGAUACCCGUGUAGUC